AACCUCCGCAAUGUGAGAAAUCGCGACGGGGGGAUCCCAAGUGCCAUUCUUAACGGGAUGGCUUUUCAUUAGUGUAAAGAGCUUUUGGAAUAAGAGCUGGGCAAGACCGGUGCCGGCCGCCGCGGUAACACCGGCAGCUCUAGUGGUAACAAUUUUUAUUGGGCCUAAAGCGUCCGUAGCCGGUUUAAUAAGUCUCUGGUGAAAUCCUGUAGCUUAACUGUGGGAAUUGCUGGAGAUACUAUUAGACUUGAGACCGGGAGAGGUUAGAGGUACUCCCAGGGUAGAGGUGAAAUUCUGUAAUCCUGGGAGGACCGCCUGUUGCGAAGGCGUCUAACUGGAACGGUUCUGACGGUGAGGGACGAAAGUUAGGGGCGCGAACCGGAUUAGAUACCCGGGUAGUCCUAACUGUAAACGAUGCGGACUUGGUGUUGGGGUGGCUUUGAGCUGCUCCAGUGCCGAAGGGAAGCUGUUAAGUCCGCCGCCUGGGAAGUACGGUCGCAAGACUGAAACUUAAAGGAAUU
rnacentral:rRNA from 1 species